rnacentral:rRNA from 1 species
GAGGAAUGUAUAGCGAUAGCUAGUUGCAUCAUUGCAAAUAUGAUGCAAGAUUGACUAUGUUGAAUAAAAUUCUAGGUAGAGUUAUGAUAAUGACAUUUUCUGCCUAUGUGUCUUGACCAAAUUACGUGCCAGCAGUCGCGGUAAUACGUAGAAGACUAGUGUUAUUCAUGUUUAAUCGGUUUAAAGGGUACCUAGACGGCAGAUCAAGCUUUCCGAAGUGAAAAAAAAAAGAAGAAAAAGGACUAWUUUGCUAGAGUUACUAACGAGGGGGUUUUAAAGUACUGCUGGUGUAGAGAUGAAAUUCUGUCAUACCUCUUUUCGAAAGAAAAAUAAUGGCACAGGUAUAGGCGAAGGCAUCCCCUUAUGGGAUAACUGACGUUGAGGGACGAAGGCUUUAUAUAACGAAUAGGAUUAGAUACCCUAGUAGUGGAAGCAGUAAAUGAUGAAUGUCAUAGAUUAGAUUAAUUUAUUCUAUAAAUGAAAGUGUAAGCAUUCCACCUCAUGAGUAAUUUGGCAACAUUGGAAUUGAAAUCAUUAGACCGUUUCUGAAACCAGUAGUGAAGUAUGUUGUUUAAUUUGAUGAUCCGCAAAAAACCUUACCACAAUUUGAAUAUUUAUAUUAAAAUUAUUGUUUUUUUAUUAAUUUUUUUAACCAAACAGUGGAGGUAAUUAAUAAAGAGGCAAUAAGAUAUAUUUACAAGCGUUGCACGNCUGUNUUCAGUUAAUGUMGUGAGAUUUUGGUUAGAUCCAUUAAAUUAACGUAAACCCUUACUUUAUUNUUAGAUAGAGUUGUUCCCCACUAUAUUGGAUUGAU